rnacentral:lncRNA from 12 species
GGAACAGCAAAAUGAUCUGAACAUAUAAAACAAGUUAUAUGGACAGGCCAAACGUCAGAUAUAUUAAUAUGAAAAUGGGACAGUCAGAAAAUGUAUAGAAAAAGAAUGGCUGUGAAAAGAAGAAAACUAAUUUCUAUGCAGAAAGAACAACACACAAUUUCCAAAGCAGCAAUAAGCUUUCAGACUGUCCCACAAUUGAAAUGGAAAAAAAAAUUAAGGUAUUAAUCAAGACCUAUAUCCUGGAGUAAGUUCUCAGGUAUUUAUAAUUUAGAAAAUAAGUCAGUGUUAU